rnacentral:rRNA from 1 species
UACGAAGGGGGCUAGCGUUGUUCGGAAUUACUGGGCGUAAAGCGCGUGUAGGCGGCUUGGCAAGUCGGGUGUGAAAGCCCUCAGCUCAACUGAGGAAGUGCGCCCGAAACUGCUUAGCUUGAGUACCGGAGAGGAUGGUGGAAUUCCCGAAGUAGAGGUGAAAUUCGUAGAUAUCGGGAGGAACACCGGUGGCGAAGGCGACCAUCUGGACGGAUACUGACGCUGAGACGCGAAAGCGUGGGUAGCAAACAGG